CCUACGGGUGGCAGCAGUGGGGGAUAUUGCACAAUGGGGGGAACCCUGAUGCAGCGACGCCGCGUGGGUGACGAAGCGCCUCGGCGCGUAAAGCCCUGUCAGCAGGGAAGACAAUGACGGUACCUGAAGAAGCAGCCCCGGCUAACUACGUGCCAGCAGCCGCGGUAAUACGUAGGGGGCAAGCGUUAUCCGGCUUUCCUGGGUGGAAAUGGGGCGUAGACGGGGAUGCAAGUCCGGAGUGAAAGCCCGGGGCUCAACCCCGGGACUGCUCUUGGAACUGCGUGGCUGGAGUGCAGGAGGGGCAGGCGGAAUGCCUGGUGUAGCGGUGAAAUGCGUAGAUAUCAGGAGGAACACCGGUGGCGAAGGCGGCCUGCUGGACUGCAACUGACGUUGAGGCCCGAAAGCGUGGGGAGCAAACAGGAUUAGAUACCCCUGUAGUC
rnacentral:rRNA from 1 species